GCAAGUCGAGCGCACCCUUCGGGGCGAGCGGCGGACGGGUUAGUAACGCGUGGGAACAUACUCUUUUCUAUGGAAUAGCCUCGGGAAACUGAGAGUAAUACCAUAUACGCCCUUCGGGGGAAAGAAUUAUCGGAGAAGGAUUGGCCCGCGUAAGAUUAGAUAGUUGGUGGGGUAAUGGCCUACCAAGUCUACGAUCUAUAGCUGGUUUUAGAGGAUGAUC
rnacentral:rRNA from 1 species